AAUCCGUGUUGUGGACACUUCUGUAAGAGAUCCUUGAAUCACACUCACAUCUCAAACAUGGAUUCAAGCUCCAUCUGAAUAAACGACGAUAUCUCAUUAUAAAGUUU